rnacentral:rRNA from 1 species
CCCAGUAGCGGCGAGCGAACGGGGAGGAGCCCAGAGCCUGAAUCAGUGUGUGUGUUAGUGGAAGCGUCUGGAAAGGCGCGCGAUACAGGGUGACAGCCCCGUACACAAAAAUGCACAUACUGUGAGCUCGAUGAGUAGGGCGGGACACGUGGUAUCCUGUCUGAAUAUGGGGGGACCAUCCUCCAAGGCUAAAUACUCCUGACUGACCGAUAGUGAACCAGUACCGUGAGGGAAAGGCGAAAAGAACCCCGGCGAGGGGAGUGAAAAAGAACCUGAAACCGUGUACGUACAAGCAGUGGGAGCCUCUUUUAUGGGGUGACUGCGUACCUUUUGUAUAAUGGGUCAGCGACUUAUAUUCUGUAGCAAGGUUAACCGAAUAGGGGAGCCGAAGGGAAACCGAGUCUUAACUGGGCGUUAAGUUGCAGGGUAUAGACCCGAAACCCGGUGAUCUAGCCAUGGGCAGGUUGAAGGUUGGGUAACACUAACUGGAGGACCGAACCGACUAAUGUUGAAAAAUUAGCGGAUGACUUGUGGCUGGGGGUGAAAGGCCAAUCAAACCGGGAGAUAGCUGGUUCUCCCCGAAAGCUAUUUAGGUAGCGCCUCGUGAAUUCAUCUCCGGGGGUAGAGCACUGUUUCGGCAAGGGGGUCAUCCCGACUUACCAACCCGAUGCAAACUGCGAAUACCGGAGAAUGUUAUCACGGGAGACACACGGCGGGUGCUAACGUCCGUCGUGAAGAGGGAAACAACCCAGACCGCCAGCUAAGGUCCCAAAGUCAUGGUUAAGUGGGAAACGAUGUGGGAAGGCCCAGACAGCCAGGAUGUUGGCUUAGAAGCAGCCAUCAUUUAAAGAAAGCGUAAUAGCUCACUGGUCGAGUCGGCCUGCGCGGAAGAUGUAACGGGGCUAAACCAUGCAC